rnacentral:rRNA from 1 species
UACGAAGGGGGCUAGCGUUGCUCGGAAUCACUGGGCGUAAAGCGCACGUAGGCGGAUUGCUAAGUCAGGGUGAAAUCCUGGAGCUCAACUCCAGAACUGCCUUUGAUACUGGCGACCUUGAGUCCGGGAGAGGUGAGUGGAACUGCGAGUGUAGAGGUGAAAUUCGUAGAUAUUCGCAAGAACACCAGUGGCGAAGGCGGCUCACUGGUCCGGUACUGACGCUGAGGUGCGAAAGCGUGGGGAGCAAACAGG